AGCUCUGCCGUGUCGAUUCCCACUACAAACCCUCCCCCCGACCAGAAGAGAAGAAGAGAACCUUUCGUCUCGGCGGUCCCCCACUGACCCCCGACCCCGAACCCUCGCCGGCCCGCCCGUCCAUGGACUUCGCGGAGCAGGACGUCGACGUCUUCGGCGAGGAAUACGACGGCGCCGAAGCCGAGGCCGAGGGCGGAGGCGGCGCCUCCUCCGGCUCCUCCUCCCCCUCCUCAUCCUCCUCGUCCUCCGCCGCCGCCUCCUCCUCCUCCUCCAGCGCUGCCUCCAGCGGCCGCAGCAGCAGCCCCGCCGCCGGCGGCGGGGACGAGGACGGCGCCGACGACGGGGACGGCGGGGAGUACGACUCGUUCGACGUCGUGCCCGUCAGGCCCGCCGCCGGGUACGGGGACGACGAGGAGGAGGCGAGAGAUUUGUUCGGCUCCGACAACGAGGAGUACGUCAAGACCCCCGCGCGUAGCAACUACCUAGUUCCAGUGCUGCCCCCGAUACGGAACGCCAACAAUUUUUCUCGAGGAGGACGAGGUGGCAGGGGCCCACCUCUUCUUCCAAGGCCAGGAGGCCAUCCAGGAGGACGAAAUAAUUUUGGCCAUGGCGGGAGGUUUUCGUAUGGAAAUGGGCGUAAUGUUGAAGGUUUUGUUUCAGAAAUGAAACUUAAUAAGAGUGAAGAAACUUUAUCUAGGAAGGCUGUUGCUUUUCAGGAGCCAUGUGAGAUUGCAUGCUACAGCCGUGUUGAGGGUGGGGAUGUAUAUUUUGAUGAUCGCAGCUUGAGGCUUUUCAAACGUAAUAUUUGUGAUUAUGCUGGUGAAGAUCUCAAUAAAGGAUUUGAAACGUUUAUAGAGAAAAGAGAUUUGGGUUCUCAAGGAUUUGGCGACCUUCUUGCAUGCAUAAGAAAUUCAAAUCUACCUCUUCAGAAUAUACAUUUUGUGACGUAUCGCAACAACCUUAACAAGAUAUUGGCCACGGCUUAUCUAAAAGAACCAUGGAAGAUGGGUGUGCACAAAAGAAAUGGUGUUGUAUACCUUGAUGUCCAUAAACUCCCUGAAAGACCACAGAGUGAAAUUGACCGCAGGAGAUGUUUUUGGGGCUAUUCUUUUGAAAAUCUUGCCACUGAGAACUCCAUUGACGAAGACGGAAGCGGUAUUGAUGCUAAUGUAGAGUAUUGUUCUGUAAUAAAGACGAAAUUGGGCGCGCAUCGCAUUGUCAUGGGUGCUGAGAUGGACUGCUGUGAUUCAACCGACGAUGGUAGGCGGUUCUAUGUGGAGUUGAAAACAAGCAGAGAGCUGGAGUAUCAUACAGUGGAAAAAUUUGAGAAAGAGAAGUUACUUAGGUUUUGGAUUCAAUCAUUCCUUGCUGGCGUGUCGUAUGUUGUCGUGGGAUUCAGGAAUGAUGCUGGUGUACUUAUACGAACUGAGAGACUAAGAACUAAAGAUAUUACACAAAAAGUGAAAGCAAAGAACUACUAGCAGGGUGGUGUCUGCUUGGCCUUUGCUGACGAGGUUUUAUGCUGGCUGUAUGGCACUGUCAAAGAAAAUGAAGACUAUGUUCUGCAAUUUGCACACCCGUUCCAUCGGUUGGAACUAUUAAAAGCCCAGUCUCCAUGCCCCGAGGCAAUAACUCUGCAUGUGGAACAGCUCACCGGUGCAACAAACUAGAUCUGUUCCCUAGCAAAGCUUCGGCGCUGAUGUUUCGCUAAACGGACAGCUUUGAGGGACCUUACGUAACAGCGUCGCGUCUUAGAAUGGUUCGAGCUAUAGUUCGAGGGGCUGAUGCGGAUGCAUAAGAGACUGACGGUGUCAUGCUAUAUGUUCGGUCGGUAACUGGAGGCAGUACGGUCACGGUUUGCUCUUUGAGUGUCCAAAGAGAUUUUGAAGCCAUCGAACACUGUAUUUCUUCUGUAAUACCAAGUUAUAAAUUAGGGAAGUGCAGAGUUACACUGCCAUUGUAACGGUUCAUCGCUCAAGGCACCAACGAUGUGUAACUUUUGUACCAAUGAUGAUAUUGAAUUUUAAAGACGGAUGCUGCCAUGCCAUGGUAACAUGCCAAGAACA